rnacentral:rRNA from 1 species
UAGAGUUUGAUCCUGGCUCAGGACGAACGCUGGCGGCGUGCCUAAUACAUGCAAGUAGAACGCUGAAGGAGGAGCUUGCUUCUCUGGAUGAGUUGCGAACGGGUGAGUAACGCGUAGGUAACCUGCCUGGUAGCGGGGGAUAACUAUUGGAAACGAUAGCUAAUACCGCAUAAGAGUAGAUGUUGCAUGACAUUUGCUUAAAAGGUGCAAUUGCAUCACUACCAGAUGGACCUGCGUUGUAUUAGCUAGUUGGUGGGGUAACGGCUCACCAAGGCGACGAUACAUAGCCGACCUGAGAGGGUGAUCGGCCACACUGGGACUGAGACACGGCCCAGACUCCUACGGGAGGCAGCAGUAGGGAAUCUUCGGCAAUGGACGGAAGUCUGACCGAGCAACGCCGCGUGAGUGAAGAAGGUUUUCGGAUCGUAAAGCUCUGUUGUAAGAGAAGAACGAGUGUGAGAGUGGAAAGUUCACACUGUGACGGUAUCUU